rnacentral:rRNA from 1 species
GCUGAUUGGGGAAUAUCCAUGUGCACAAUGAGCCUGAUGCAGCCAUGCCGCGUGUAUGGAAGGCCUUCGGGUUGUCUUUCAGCGGGGAAGGUGUUGCCGUGAUAGGUUAAUAACCUCACCGUGGCAAUCGUUACCCGCAGAAGAAGCACCGGCUAACUGCCCUGUAGUAGCCGCGGUAAUCCGUGAUACGGAUGCAAGCGUUAAUCGGAAUGGGCGCCAGUAACGCAGGCUGUCCCAGUAAGUCGGGAAAUCCCCGGGCUCAACCUCUAGGGGGAACUGCAUUCGACUGGCAGGCUAAAGUCAGAGGGGGGUAGAAUUCCAGGGCGGUGAACCGUAGUAGAAUAGGUAGAGAUCUGGAGGAAUACCGGUGGCGAAGGCGGCCCCUUGGACAAAGACUGACGUUCAGGUGCGAAAGCGUGGGGAGCAAACAGGAUUAGAUACCCUGGUAGUCCACGCCGUAAAACGAUGUCGACUUGGAGGUUGUGCCCUUGAGGCCCUGAUGUGGCAGCUAACGCGUUAAGUCGACCGCCUGGGGAGUACCGUGGGCCGCAAGGUUAAAAAAUGAAUUGACGGGGGCCCGCACAAGCGGUGGAGCAUGUGGUUUAAUUCGAUGCAACGCGAAGAACCUUACCUACUCUUCGACAUCCAGAGCAGAACUUAGCGUGAUCAGAGAUCUUCGGGAACUCUGAGACAGGUGCUGCAUGGCGUGAUCUGUCGUCAUUGUGAAAUGUUGGGUUAAGUCCCGCGCAACGAGGCAACCCUUAUCCUUUGUUGCCAGCGCCGGCGUGAUGAAGGAGACUGCCCGUGUAAGUGAUAAACUGGAACGUGGUGGGGAUGACGUCAAGUGGCCCUUACGAGUAGGGCUACACGUGAUCACGUGCUACAAUGGCGCAUACAAAGAGAAGCGACCUCGUGCGCGAGAGCAAGCGGACCUCAUAAAGUGCUAGUCCGGAUUGGAGUCUGCAACUCGACUCCAUGAAGUCGGAAUCGCUAGUAAUCGUAAAUGCUACGGUGACGUCGUGAAUACGUUCCCGGGCC